CUCGAUCCCAGGACCCUGGGACCACGAGCCAAAGGCAGAUGCUCAACCACUGAGCCUCCCAGAUAUUUGAACUCUUUCCUGUUGGUACUAUUACGACUAAUGCCACUAUAAACAUUAGGUAUAUGCCACGAGGCUGAAACACAACAAUGGAACUGAUAAGACACGGGUAGAGAUCUCAUCGCUCAAGUCUAUUUCUCAUUAGGGGAAAGAAAAGGCCACUCUGCCAAAAGGGUUUAGACUCUUUCUCAAUUGUCAUCCCUAAAACUCUGUAUUAGCUGGUUCGUGGCUAAUGACAUGCUGCAAGGAGAGAUCGGCAGGCCCCAUCUUCCUGGGACUUCUGGCCAAGCAAAGAAGCAGAGACAACCACAGAAAUGGAAAUAAAUGUGUGUGAGCAAAACUACCUAAAACCAAAAGGCCAGGGAGGCGCUGACAUAUAUCCAUAGAGACUAACUGAAGAUGUAACUGGCAGUGGGGACAGGGGAAGGUUAAGAAUUGGCUGGGGAAAGGGACAGUUCAGAAAAUGCGGGGCGGCUGGGAGGGGGUUUUUACAGGGUAAUUUCAUUUGCCUGGUUAAUGUGCAUGGACUGCUUUUGAAGAUCUACUCAAGCUGAUCAUCAACUGUACAAAAACCCUGGAGUUAAGAAGGUAGCUCGAUAUGGUCACAAGAGCCACACUGCAACAGCAGUGGUAAAAACCUCAACACUCUACAGCCCAGUGUAUUAAAGUCACAGGCUCCACUUUAUGGGUCUAAUGCAUUCUUAGAGUCACCCAGAUUUAACGGAAAGGAAAAAAUAAGAAACAGGGGGAUGAGGUUUGCUCCACGACAUCUUGGAAAUUUGAGAUCCCUUACCAUCUUACCUGAUAGGCAAGUUAUCAUUAGGAUUUCUUAACGUGAAUAACAAAAGGAAGGUGGGUUUAAUUUGUUUCAUCCCAAAUCUCCAAGACCCGCGGUGGCCUGUCCAAUUGGAGUGAUCUAGGAGGAUGGAGCAAAGCCUUCUCCAAAAGCCUUCAGGGGAAAUGAGUGGCCCAGAUUAGCCAAUGAAAAUUCACUAAGAACAAGAAGCAGAAAUUAAGGUGAGCCAGCUGAAUGAGGUAAUUUUACAGACAUUGGUGUGGUUAAAACUAAAUGGUUGGAAGGGGAAAGUGGAAGGGAAGGAGUUUAUUGCUAUUUACAGAAAUUUUUAAGAAAAU